ACUCUAAUAAUUUAAACAAAAAUAAUGAUCUUGUAAAUCAUAAAUAAUACUUAGUAUA
rnacentral:tRNA from 1 species